rnacentral:rRNA from 1 species
CGAUUCCCUACGGGGUGCAGCAGUCGCGAAAACUUUGCAAUACACGAAAGUGUGACAGGGCUAUCCCGAGUGCCAUCCGCUGAGGAAGGCUUUUACCCAGUCUAGAACGCUGGGGGAAUAAGGAGAGGGCAAGUCUGGUGUCAGCCGCCGCGGUAAUACCAGCUCUCCGAGUGGUGUGGAUGUUUAUUGGGCCUAAAGCAUCCGUAGCUGGCUAGGUAAGUCCCCUGUUAAAUCCACCGAAUUAAUCGUUGGAUCGCGGGGGAUACUGCUUGGCUAGGGGACGAGAGAGGCAGACGGUAUUUUUGGGGUAGGGGUGAAAUCCUAUAAUCCCAGGAAGACCACCAGUGGCGAAGGCUGUCUGCUAGAACGCGCCCGACGGUGAGGGAUGAAAGCUGGGGGAGCGAACCGGAUUAGAUACCCGGGUAGUCCCAGCUGUAAACGAUGCAGACUAGGUGUUUGGACGGCCACGUGCCGUUCUAGUGCCGCAGGGAAGCUGUUAAGUCUGCCGCCUGGGGAGUACGAUCGCAAGAUUGAAACUUAAAGGAAUUGGCGGGGGAGCACCACAAGGGGUGAAGCUUGCGGUUUAAUUGGAGUCAACGCCGGAAAUCUCACCGGGAGCGACAGCAGUGUGAAGGCCAGAUUAAAGGUCUUGCCAGACGAGCUGAGAGG